CAAGAACUGUGGAGUUAUAUCAAAAGUUGCAACAUGUAUAUAAUUGGAAUAUCAAAAAGAGAAGAAGAAGAAAAUGGAGCAGAAGAAACAUUUGCAGAAAUAAUGACUGAGAAGUUCUCAAAUUAAGAACAGAUAUCAAGCCACAGAACCAGGAAGCUUAGACAAUAUCAGCAGAAUAAACACCAAAGACUCCACACGGAGACACACCACAUUCAAACUGCAAAAAACAAAAAUAAAGAAAAAAAAAUUUAAUGAAUCUAGGAUUGGAGAACACUUUCCAUACUGAGGUAAAAGAAUACAAAUUACCAGAGACUUCUCAUGAAAAAUAAUGCAAACAAGAAGAGAAUGAAAUGAAAUCAUUAAAAUGCUCAAAGAAAAAGACUACAACCAUGAGUUCUAUAUCCAUUUAAAUUAUUAUUUCUUCAAAAAGAAGAAAUAAAAACUUUCUUAGACAAACAAAAACUAAAAAUUCCCACCCAGUGGACUUGCUCUGCAAGACAUGUUAAAAGAAGGUCUUUAGGCGGAAGGAAAAUCAUGUGUAGAUCAGAUGCUUGAAUCUACAUAAAGAAUCUAUGGCCAUACCACCCUGAACGUGCCCAAUCUCGUCUGAAUCUACAUAAAGAAAAAAGAAAGCAUCAGAGAAGUAGUUCAUGAAGGUUGUGUUUUUUAAUAGUUGGAGGAGCGGAGAGAACAGGCGUAGUGGAGAGAGUAAAGAAUAUUCCUUAUGUGCACAUGAGAAAGUCACCACAGAAAAGAAAGCAACCUGAUGCUGUCAGAGUGACUCACGUAUCCUCUAUUCUUGGAAGGAGGAGAAAAGAUGGAAGGCCAAUGCAAUACUUUGUUACAUGGAUCUUAUGUUACAUUAUGUCUGUGGCCCAGCAUGCUUAUGUGAAAGAAAGAAUACCAGUCUCAUUUUUCAGGUAUACAACUUCAAGAGAACACCAUGGCUUUAGUCAAAAGGAAAGAAGCUGCGUCAUGUUGUCGGUGUUUGAAGGAAGAAAAGGCUGAAGAUAAUUCUUUAUCAGGUGGAACAGAACCUCUUAUAUGAAAACUCUCUGUUCCCAUCAUUCAAAGACUACCAGGAACACAUCUGUGAUCAACAAAGGAUGCCUGCUGAUGUUGGCUUUGAGUGACGUGACCUUCAACGCUUCCUUAAAC